CAUAGCCUUAUGCUUAUAUUAGGUUAUUUCUGCUCUAUGAAUUAAAUGGCCGCAGUAAACUGACUGUGCUAAGGUAGCAUAAUAAAUUGGCCUUUAAUUGAGGUCUAGUAUAAACGGAGCAUAUGAGAACUGUCUUUAAUAUAAUUAAUUAACUUACUUAUUAGGUGAAAAUUCCUAUGCUAGAAGAAGGACGAGAAGACCCUUAGAAUUAUUAAUAUUUUUGUUGGGGCGACAUAUUUUCAUAUAACAUAAUUUCUUAAUUAACAAGACUAGUUAGAUUUAAUUACCUGAGGGAUAACAGCAUUAUUUUAAGCUUGUGACCUCGAUGUUGGACUAGGUAAUAACAACCAGCAGUUGCUAUUGUUCUGUUCGAACCCUACGUGA
rnacentral:rRNA from 1 species